UACGUAGGGCGCAAGCGUUAUCCGGAAUUAUUGGGCGUAAAGCGCGCGCAGGCGGCCUCGCGCGCCCGACGUGAAAGCCCCCGGCUUAACCGGGGAGGGUCGUUGGGGACGGCGGGGCUUGAGGGCGGGAGAGGUCGGUGGAAUUCCCGGUGUAGUGGUGAAAUGCGUAGAGAUCCGGAAGAACACCGGUGGCGAAGGCGGCCUGCUGGGCAGUAGCUGACGCUGAAGCGCGACAGCGUGGGGAGCAAACAGG
rnacentral:rRNA from 1 species